UUUAUCGGAGAGUUUGAUCCUGGCUCAGGACGAACGCUGGCGGCGUGCCUAAUACAUGCAAGUCGAGCGGACAGAUG
rnacentral:rRNA from 6 species